GCUGAUAUAGCUCAGUUGGUAGAGCGCACCCUUGGUAAGGGUGAGGUCCCCAGUUCGACUCUGGGUAUUAGCA
rfam:Ferrimonas marina strain DSM 16917 genome assembly, contig: EK02DRAFT_scaffold00005.5